rnacentral:tRNA from 1 species
GGGUUGUUAGCUCAGUCGGUAGAGCAGCGGACUUUUAAUCCGUAGGUCGCGUGUUCGAGUCACGCACAACCCACCA